UGGACCCGCGGCGCAUUAGCUAGUUGGUGAGGUAACGGCUCACCAAGGCGACGAUGCGUAGCCGACCUGAGAGGGUGAUCGGCCACACUGGGACUGAGACACGGCCCAGACUCCUACGGGAGGCAGCAGUAGGGAAUCUUCCGCAAUGGACGAAAGUCUGACGGAGCAACGCCGCGUGAGUGAUGAAGGUUUUCGGAUCGUAAAGCUCUGUUGUUAGGGAAGAACAAGUGCAAGAGUAACUGCUUGCACCUUGACGGUACCUAACCAGAAAGCCACGGCUAACUACGUGCCAGCAGCCGCGGUAAUACGUAGGUGGCAAGCGUUGUCCGGAAUUAUUGGGCGUAAAGGGCUCGCAGGCGGUUUCUUAAGUCUGAUGUGAAAGCCCCCGGCUCAACCGGGGAGGGUCAUUGGAAACUGGGAAACUUGAGUGCAGAAGAGGAGAGUGGAAUUCCACGUGUAGCGGUGAAAUGCGUAGAGAUGUGGAGGAACACCAGUGGCGAAGGCGACUCUCUGGUCUGUAACUGACGCUGAGGAGCGAAAGCGUGGGGAGCGAACAGGAUUAGAUACCCUGGUAGUCCACGCCGUAAACGAUGAGU
rnacentral:rRNA from 1 species